CCAGCAGCCGCGGUAAUUCCAGCUCCAAUAGCGUAUAUUAAAGUUGUUGCAGUUAAAAAGCUCGUAGUUGGAUUUCAAGAGACGUAGCGUGGAUUACACGUCUGCCCUCUACCAGUCUUAGACUGUUACUGUGAGAAAAUUAGAGUGUUUCAAGCAGGCUGUUGCAGGAAUACAUUAGCAUGGAAUAACGAGUGUGUCUAGAAUCUUGGUUAAUUCUAGAUUACGAUUAAGAGGGACAGUCGGGGGCAUUCGUAUUUCAUUGUCAGAGGUGAAAUUCUUGGAUUUAUGAAAGACGAACUACUGCGAAAGCAUUUGCCAAGGAUGUUUUCAUUAAUCAAGAACGAAAGU
rnacentral:rRNA from 1 species